CUAGUAGCGGUUUUGGGAGUGGUUCUGGUUUUGGAUUGAACACUGAGAUCGAUCCAUUUUCUAUCAAGUCUAAAGGGUGCUCCGAUUCGCACAAGGAAGAUAGCUAGGGACAUGCUGCUUUUCUGGAAGAGAGUGGAUAAUGAGAUGGUAACUUUCAAUUUUUUUAAUGGGAGUACAUUGAUUACAGUUAAAAUAUAUUCUUGAUUUGCCUUCAAUUGUUCUAAAAAGUCAUUGAAGAAUUUUUCCAAUGUCAAAUAUAAGCUGGACUUGAAUUUUUUUUUUUUUUUUUUUUUUUUUGCAGGCAGAAUUGAGGAAAAAGGAGGAAAGAGAAGUUGCUGAAGCCCUAAGGCGUGAGCAGGAGCUUCGAGAAGCAAAGAGGCAACAACAAAGGCUGAAUUUUCUUAUUCAACAAACUGAGCUUUACAGCCACUUCAUGUAGAACAAGUCGAGCACUCAGCCAUCUGAAACUACACUUAUGGGGGAUGAGGAAACCAAUGAACAAGAAGAGCAUAUUAUCUCUAUUGAUGCUGGGAAGGUUGAGGAAGAUGAUCCUGAAGAGGCUGAACUAAAGAAAGAGGCCUUGAAAGCUGCGCAAGAUGAAGUUUCUAAGCAGAAAAAACUGACAAGUGCAUUUGAUAAUGAAUGUAUGAAGCUGCGGCAAACUAGUGAACCUGAGGCUCCACAGGAGGUUGCAGGAGCUAGUAACAUAGAUCUACUCCAUCCUUCCACCAUGCCAGUGACAUCAACUGUUCAAACACCACUGUUGUUUAGAGGCACCCUUAAAGAAUAUCAGCUGAAAGGUCUUCAGUGGCUGGUCAAUUGUUAUGAGCAGGGUUUGAAUGGCAUUCUUGCUGAUGAGAUGGGCCUUGGAAAGACCAUUCAGGCUAUGGAAUUUUUGGCUCAUCUGGCUGAAGUAAUUACUCAGCUUGGUGUCUGGCUUUUCUUUGGUGUAACUUGGGAUUCUAACUUUAAUUUUUUAAAUUUCUAUUUUUAAUUCAGGAUAAAAAUAUAUGGGGACCUUUUCUUGUUGUUGCUCCUGCAUCUGUAUUGAACAACUGGGCAGAAGAAAUUACCCGCUUUUGCCUUGACUUGAAAACUCUUCCAUAUUGGGGUGGGCUUCAGGACUGUACAGUUCUGAGGAAAAAAAUCAACCCGAAGACACUAUACCGCAGGGAUGCUGGGUUUCACAUUCUUAUCACCAGCUAUCAGCUACUUGUUUCUGAUGAGAAGUACUUUAGGCGGGUGAAAUGGCAAUAUAUGGUGUUGGAUGAAGCCCAAGCAAUUAAAAGUUCAAACAGUAUAAGAUGGAAGACACUGCUUAGUUUUAAUUGCCGAAAUAGGCUUCUGCUUACUGGCACUCCAAUCCAAAAUAAUAUGGCAAAGUUGUGGGCCUUACUACAUUUCAUUAUGCCAACCUUAUUUGAUAGUCACGAACAGUUUAAUGAGUGGUUUUCUAAAGGAAUUGAGAGCCAUGCAGAACAUGGUGGUACUUUGAAUGAGCACCAGCUUAACCGAUUGGUAAGCAUCUUUUAUGCAACAUUAUUUUUAUUUGAAACAAAACAGUACUACUGGUGUCUUUUUCAUCAGGUCUUGUAAGUGCCAUUGUGGUUUUGGACUGUCAAACAAUCAAAGACACUCUAACUGGUGUCUUUUUU